UACGGAGGGUGCAAGCGUUAUCCGGAUUCACUGGGUUUAAAGGGUGUGUAGGCGGGCUAUUAAGUCAGUGGUGAAAUCUCAGGGCUCAACCCUGAAACUGCCAUUGAUACUAUUAGUCUUGAAUAUCGUUGAGGUUGGCGGAAUAUAUCAUGUAGCGGUGAAAUGCAUAGAUAUGAUAUAGAACACCGAUUGCGAAGGCAGCUAGCUAAGCGAUGAUUGACGCUGAGGCACGAAAGCGUGGGGAUCAAACAGG
rnacentral:rRNA from 1 species